UAUCUGCGACUGCAUAAUUCAGCCGUGUAUCUACGACUGCAUGCAUUUCUAGGCAUAUGUGUAUGCAUGUAUUAGGCUUCUCCUUUUUUAACAAAUCUCAAAAUAAAAAGUCUUACAACCACAGUUACAAAGUUACCUAUUGCCUCUACAUAUCUGGAAAUUUAUCCUAAGGAGAUUAUCCAAAACAGAAAACAUCAUAUCCAGUCCAGGCACGGUGGUUGUAAUUAAUCCCAGCACUUUGGAAAGCUCAGGUGGGAGGAUCGCUUGAGCCCACGAGUUCAAGGUUGCAGUGAGCUGUGAUUGUACCACUGCAUUCCAGCCUGGGUGCCAGGCUAAGACCCUGUCUUUUUUGUUUGUUUGUUUGUUUGUUUGUUUGUUUGUUUGAGACGGAUUUUCAUUCUUGUUGCCCAGGCUGGAGUGCAAUGGUGUGAUCUCGGCUCACCACAAUCUCUGCCUCCU
rnacentral:lncRNA from 1 species